rnacentral:rRNA from 1 species
GUAGCGGCGAGCGAAACGGAAACAGCCCAAACCAACAAGCUUGCUUGUUGGGGUUGUAGGACUCAGCUGUGGUAGCUGUUGUGGAUAGUCGAAUGACCUGGAAAGGUCAGCCGGAGCGGGUAAAAGCCCCGUAGACGAAAUUGACAACACACCUAUGAGUAUCCUGAGUACGGCGGAACACGAGAAAUUCCGUCGGAAUCCGGGAGGACCAUCUCCCAAGGCUAAAUACUCUCUAGUGACCGAUAGUGUACCAGUACCGUGAGGGAAAGGUGGAAAGCACCCCGGAAGGGGAGUGAAAUAGAACCUGAAACCGUGUGCCUACAAAAAGUCAGAGCCCGUUAAUGGGUGAUGGCGUGCCUUUUGCAGAAUGAACCGGCGAGUUACGAUUGCAUGCGAGGUUAAGCUGAAGAAGCGGAGCCGUAGCGAAAGCGAGUCUGAAUAGGGCGAGUAAGUAUGUAGUCGUAGACCCGAAACCAAGUGACCUACCCAUGUCCAGGUUGAAGGUGCGGUAAAACGCACUGGAGGACCGAACCCACGUACGUUGAAAAGUGCGGGGAUGAGGUGUGGGUAGCGGAGAGAUUCCAAACGAACUUGGAGAUAGC